rnacentral:rRNA from 1 species
UACGGAGGGUGCAAGCGUUAUCCGGAUUUACUGGGUUUAAAGGGUGCGUAGGUGGGCAAGUAAGUCAGUGGUGAAAUCUUCGAGCUUAACUCGGAAACUGCCAUUGAUACUAUUUGUCUUGAAUACUUUGGAGGUAAGCGGAAUAUGUCAUGUAGCGGUGAAAUGCUUAGAUAUGACAUAGAACACCAAUUGCGAAGGCAGCUUACUAGACAGUUAUUGACACUGAGGCACGAAAGCGUGGGGAUCAAACAGG